AAGAGCUUGCUCUUAUGAAGUUAGCGGCGGACGGGUGAGUAUCUCGUGUUUAACCUGCCCAUAAGACUGGGAUAACUCCGGGAAACCGGGGCUAAUACCGGAUAACAUUUUGAACCGCAUGGUUCGAAAUUGAAAGGCGGCUUCGGCUGUCACUUAUGGAUGGACCCGCGUCGCAUUAGCUAGUUGGUGAGGUAACGGCUCACCAAGGCAACGAUGCGUAGCCGACCUGAGAGGGUGAUCGGCCACACUGGGACUGAGACACGGCCCAGACUCCUACGGGAGGCAGCAGUAGGGAAUCUUCCGCAAUGGACGAAAGUCUGACGGAGCAACG
rnacentral:rRNA from 1 species